rnacentral:lncRNA from 1 species
UGUUUUAAUUUUUUUGUCUGUACAAAAACUGUAGGAUUUUUGUGUUACACAACUUUUCUGACUACAGCAUUUAUCUUUUAUUUUAGUGAAGUUGAGGAAUUGGACAGAAGAAUUGCUCGAGAAAUGAAAACUCUCCCCAACAAGAAUGUAAAGCAUUUAUUUGAUGCUAUUUAAUAUGUAAUAUAUAUAUUAUUAGCCCAAUUAUUUUUUCACCAUUUUUCUCGGCAUUGUUUACAGCUCGAUGACUUGUAGGACUUAAUGUAAAAGAAUACAAAUACUCAAUACUAAAGAAUGUGAUAAAUCAUUAAUAAUUAGGAAAAUAAAUGACUAUGAAAAUAUUUAAGUAACUAAACAAUUUCUAUUUAUAAAUACAAUUAAUAAAAAAUAAACCAGACUUAAUGCAUUAAAUCAUAACCUAGUAUGUGUAAUAUUUAUAUAAUAAUACAUUCAGUCAUAGCGUAAUAUUCUAUGGUAGAAAAAUAGUGUAAAUUGCAAUCUAUUAGCAACUGAAUUCAGGUUAGGUAAUCUUAUCUAAUCAGGUUACAUAAUCUUCCAAACAGCAGGUGGCACUGUCUGAAAAAACGCUAGUUCUGGGAGUGCAGGUCUGAGUGUGCAGGUGGGGCUCCGGGCCUGCAGCCUCAUAAUGUUGGAGUAAAUAGACACUCCGAUCAAAAAAGUCCAUGGACAGGGUAUUGCUGACAAGAUAUGACAUUGGAUUUCCUCAUCACCAGAAACAUUGUCAAGCUCAAACUGUGUCGUCCAGCUGUGUGGUGAACAAUUCAACUGUAAAACAGGUCAAGGAUCUCAAUACAGAUCCAGCUACAGGACUGACAUAUCAGAGUGAGGAGUGAUUUUCAUAUUCAGUCACAAGAGAGAGAUACAGCAGCUUCACCAGGAGAGAGAAAGAGAAAGUGAGUAUGAGCUCUGCAUUUAUCCCAUCCACACACACACAUACACAGACACACACACACACACACACACACACACACACACACACACACACACACACACACGAGGAGUCGUAGGUUCUACAUUUCUAUUUUCUAUUUUUAACAUUUUUUAUUUCUGUUCUAAGCUUUCAAAACAAUCAAAAUACAUGUUCAAACAUAAAAAAACGAACCACAUAUUUCAGAUUUUAAUAAGCAGCACAACCGUUUUCAGUGAAGAAGAAGAAGGAUGAGGAAGAGGGUCAUUUUGCCAAAAUGCAAACAUUACAAGAGAAAGAUAUUAACAUGAUUGUUAAUCAGAAUAAAAAUGAUCAAGUUUUUUUUUUUCUUCUAGAUAAUAAAACUAUAUUGUACUGUACGAAACAUGGGCCACGUCGAUUUUACUAUAACGUUUUCUAUAGUUUUUACUAUAACAGCUAUUAUUAAUUAUUCUGUAGAACAGAGAAGAAAAAGCCAUCAGGUUGGGACAACUUAAGACAUUUCAGUUUCUAAUCCCAGAGUUAUUAUUAGGUGGAAAGUAAAAUAUUUUUUUAACUUUUAAACUUAAAAUUGUCUUUUCUAAUCUGUUUCUUUUUCAAAACUGCAUCACAGCAUUUGCUGCUGUAUCAAUACAUAAUCAUCCAUAUCGAUACGCGAAUCAGCAAGGAAUGCGUCACAAUAUAUUGCUGUAUUGAUAUUUUGAGCAGCGCUAUUUAAAGCCUUGUUCCAUGUGCCCCUUUUAAACUUUGAGCACCUGCCCCUCCAAAGGUCUCUGCACGGCCCUGCUGUGAAUAUAAUGCUUUAUUAAUAAUUUGUUUACUGAGUUUGGUCUUUUUAAAACACCGUUUUAAUGCAUAAGUCCAGGUACUUUCACGUUAAAUGCUUUUGAAUGUCCCAAUGAUUAAUUUGUGAACUUGACUGGUCCAGAUUAAACUUGCAGUAAACAUCUCUUGAUUCAAUUAUAGUGAGUCAAGUUAACAAUAAACAACUGCAUUAUAGUAAAGGCUUUGUAAAACUACACAGCAUUUUUAGCUUUUUAAUCAACAUACUCUGUCCUACACCAACUACACAUACAUUUCUUAUCAUGUCUAUGAAAGACGAUCAAACCAAUCAGAGUAGGUAUGGGGCGCCUCGAUCUGCAGGCUGCAGUCGGGUGCUUCUCACGGGGAUUCCCCGAGUGUAAGUGCUCUAAAGGACAGAAAUAUCAGAGUGAUGUUCAUAUUCAGUCACAAGAGGGAGAUACAGCAGCUUCAUCAGGAGAGAGAAAGAGAAAGUGACUGAGUAUGAGCUCUGCAUUUAUCCCAUCCACACACACACACACACAAUCAUACACACACGGGGAGCAGUUGGAGGUUAGGAGCCUUGUUCAAGGGUCUCACCUCAGUCGUGGUACAGAGCACUGAACAUUCACUCCUCCCACCUUUAAUACCUGGUAACAAAUAAUGCAUAUUAUAAUGAAAUAUUUCCAGUUUUGUUGCUUGAAAAUACAUUUCUUUCAUCAAACUACACAUAUUUGUGUGAAUGGCCUUCAAAGAAGGAAGAAGCCCUGCAUCUCCAGAUAGUGUAAUAACAACAUCCACCAGCAGAGGAGAUCAUGGACCGGAAGAGAAGAGAGAAAACAACACACACCAUGAGACAUGAUGAUACAAGUACUGUCCUUCAGAUAUUAUAUAUCAUCUCAAAACA